CUAGCAGCUCACCCUCUCCUGCAGCCACCAGAGAGGCAGACUGGUAGGUUCGGCGGAGGGCUAAGGAAGGACUGUCCUGCAAAAACGGAAAUGAAUUGGAAGCGAGAUCGGCUGCGGGGGAGAGAGAAUGGUUUUAAUCCACAUCACUUCAAGCCUGCGGCUGAAUACAAUAUUGCACUCCAGUGAAUGCCCAUGAUCUGUGGAACUGGACCUCACUGGGAAUCUAACUGCCUGCUCCACCCCGACAUAAAAAAGCAUGAUUCAGCACCAAAAAAGGGAUUAGGUAACAACGGAUGUUUCUUGCUCAGCGCAUUUCUCCCUCCUGGGGCCUAGGUGGGGUCAGAGCUUCCCCAACUAAGACCGGUUUCACCUGCUUCUGCAAGCCCUACAGGACUGACAGGGUGCAGACAGUGGGCUCAGUUCUGUUCUGGCAUGGGCACCAUCCACAGCGCUGCAGACCCAGGUCCACUUGGUUUUACACCUGUGCAAACCCACUGAAAUCCGUGAAGUUUUACAGGUGUCACUGGCCUUGUCCAGCUUACAAGCUCCUUAUAACAGAGGGCAGCACAUGAGUAGAAGUGAGUCCAGCUCAAUCCCCUGAUGCCCAGAAUGGCUGCAGGGUGGCAGCUAAAGGGGAGGAGCAGAAACAGCCUUGUAAGAUGAGUUCCUCUGAUCUGGCAUUACUGAGACCCCCUGCCUAUACACAUAUAGAAGCCCAAGAUGCCCCUGGUACUGAAUCUACAAAUAUUCAGAGCAAAUCCCUGCUUUGAACAGCAGCAGAACUGCUUUUCUCUUGGCUCCUCUCCUGGGUACAGCUGCGAUCCAAUAACAAAUGGAUGUCUCAACGGCUCUCUGAAAUGAAAAUCAGCUCCGUUCUUCUCUUUAGCUCAGCAGUUAUCUCACUUCCAGCUGCAGAGCAUCAGAAGCCCCCUCCCUGGGGACGGAAAGGUCCCUUGUUCACACAGAAGCAACUCCAUGGCAGAGGAUAGAUUUUUAUUUUCCUUGCAACAAAAAUUAAUCAUCAAGGCAGCCUUUGAGCUUCCUGGGGAUGUGGCUAAUGACAGUUCUGCCAGCUGAUGACACCAGGAUGGUGGUUACUUAUCUGAGCUAACUUCUCUCUUUAACACCUAAAUAAGACUAGUGGAGCCCUGGCCCUUGCUUGACAGUCAGAGGAGCUUGGCCACAGACUUCAGCAGGGGCAGGAGCUCACCCAGUUUACAAAGUGACUCUUUUCUUAUGAAUUUGCUUACUGAAAUCCAGCAAGGAAUGCAAAUGACUGGCCAUUUGUGCUUAUGGAGGCUGCUGUGACACGUUUAACAUGUACAGUGGCAUUAAAUCUUGUAUUCAAGUCUGGGAAGUGACAUCUGGCCUGCCUAGGAGCUUCUGACAACUCCAGUCUAACAUCCUGGGACCAGAUACUCUGCUGAUAUAGUUCAGCACUGACAACAAAAUGUGGGUUUCAAGAGAAGUUUUCUAAUUUGCAUCAGCUGAUGGUCUGUGUAGCGAGAAGGGAAGAACAACAGGUUGCUGUGAGCUGCAAUGUUGCUGUGAGCUGUUUAAACAGCUAAUAUGGCCUACGCAGAGGUGGCUGCUUUUCAUUGAUGAAAAACCGAUUUUCUUAUCUACUGCAUUGCUCUUGUAAAGUGAUUUUGGUUGAAAGAGGCUGUAAAUAAGUAUUUCUUAGCCAAAAUCGAGUGCCUCUGCUAUUUUGCCAUCUAUUGACUCCUCUGUGAAAUCCUAUGAAAUAUGAACUUUCAUUUCUACCC